CUACUUUGGCCGAUCGUAACCAAAGAAACCCAGUAAAUAAUGACCACGAGAUGUAAACAAUAACUAGAUAUUGAAGUACGACAUUCAUGUAGUUUGGUGAGCCACCGCCAGGGUGGCAAAUACCCGGGAACUGUGUAAGUUGACCAAGUGCUGAGAGUGGCCUGCGAAUUUUUCCGUUCAUUAUCUUCACAGUGCAAUAGUAUGCAGCUUUCAAUUGCAGAAAUGGGCACAUGAAUUCUUCAAGGGAAAAUGGAAUAACAUUUCACAGCCCUGUUCAGAAUCAAGUAAAGAAAGAGACCUCGACCUCAAAGAACUUUUCUUACGACAACUUACUCUUAUAUUCUCUUUUUUAUCAGCUGAAAAAAGAGAAAAUGAGAAAAAGGACAUCUCAUUAGUAGAGACUUUACGAGGAGCUUUUCUCGUUACUAAUGAAGAUGUGGUGGUGCUUCAUAAAUAUGAGAGAUGUGGUCUUGGCAGAUUUAGUUUGGGUUUCACUACUAAUCUACUCGUGCAUAUGUAAAUCAAUAUAAUUAACGCAACUCCAGCACACAAGACAUCAAGAACUGAGCAAAAUAUUGAAAGAGUAAUUAUCCUAGACUAACAAGAGAAACAAAUAGAAUAACCUAAUGCACCCAAAAUUGGUCCCUGUCUCACCUGUCUAACAGCUUUAUCAAACAACUGUGCAGGAUUCUCCAUGAUUGGCCAAGCUUCUGGGAGCAAGAGCACUAAUUAAAGUCAAGUGCGAUGAAAGUAGUUCAUCAUAUAACUCAUAAGGAGACUAACUACUGCAGAAGCACCAACCCCACAAAAAGAGAUGCCAAAUCUACAAAAUUGAACCUAAAACUGUUACUAAAAAUUACUUAAUUAGCAAUGAAGCACCAUGAGGGAAAUGAUGAUUAGGCCUGUAAUUACCAUUUAGUAGUUCACCAACCACUUGAGGAACAUGUAAACCAGUGACAUCUAAAACAAAGUAUGAAAAUAAAUUAAGUGAAUUUAUUCAGAAGAUAUACCACAUAAUUAAUUUGAUAAAAUGGUUCAAAUUAAUACCCCACAAUGGCUUGCUGAAUAUGUAUCUACAGUAUUAUACAGUACUAUAACAAUUUUUCAUAUGGCUAGAAAUUUAUUCCGAUAUUUUCAAAAUGUUAGGAGGGUUUCUAACUUGCCUAAUGUUAUUCCUUAUAAAGUAGUCAAACUGGCCUACAUUAAUCCUUCAACAAAUUGAAAGUUCUGUUAUUUUCUGUUAAUUCUACAAUAUUCUGACCUAAGUUUCACUCACACCUUCAAUUCCCAUGUAAGUAAAAUAUAGUAUAUGUAUUAUAUUAAGAAACUUUUAUGUUAAAAUGAAUGUUUGUACUGUAAUUAUCUAAUCAAGUAAAUGUCAAAUAUGCAUGGGUAUUCUGCACUGUGAUGCUGGAAUUUUAGUCUUGUAUCUUGUGAAAAUCUACAUAAACAUCAGAAAACCUAAAAGGAAUGUACAAAAUGUUACAACAACAGUACAGCACAUAUCCGUAAAUAAAGAUAUAAACAUGAGGUAAGGCUAUUGCUAUUAAAUUAUUACUAAACAAACUUGUAGCAGCCAAUGGCUCACAAUUGUGCAUAUUUUUAUGAACAGAUCUAUGUGGCACCAGACAAAAUUCUGAAAGAGAAUUCAAGUAUGGCUCCACUACGUAAAGGCAACUGAAAAUGGAGGAUAGAAUCCAUAAUCUUUAUGAAAUUCAUAAUUCAGCAGAAACUUGAAAUUCUACAUUUUGCAUGAUUUAAAAAGACUUGACUGCAAAUAAAAUGGUUACAUCUCCAAAAAAUCUGGAAAGCAAGAGCUGACUAACACUGAAAGUUGCCACAAGAAUGCAAUUUUUAUAAAAAGAAACCUCUGAAACCAUGAAUAUGUUCCAACAUUCAUCUUUUAUUAAAAUGUCUUACAACAAUGAUUGACUUUAUCAAGUGAAAUAGCCAGACAUAGUUCUUGUAAGCUCUGUGUGCCCUGAAUGUGUUAAAUAUUCAGGAUUUACACAUGACUUGAACCUUCCAAACAUUAAAAA